AUUGAACGCUGGCGGCAGGCCUAACACAUGCAAGUCGAGCGGAUGAAGGGAGCUUGCUCCUGGAUUCAGCGGCGGACGGGUGAGUAAUGCCUAGGAAUCUGCCUGGUAGUUGGGGAUAACGUCCGUUAACGGGCGCUAAUACCGCAUACGUCCUUCUGUUGAAAGUGGGGGAUCUUCGGACCUCACGCUCUCAGCUGAGCCUAGGUCGGAUUAGCUAGUUGGUUGGGUAAAGGCCUACCAAGGCGACGAUCCGUAACUGGUCUGAGAGGAUGAUCAGUCACACUGGAACUGAGACACGGUCCAGACUCCUACGGGAGGCAGCAGUGGGGAAUAUUGGACAAUGGGCGAAAGCCUGAUCCAGCCAUGCCGCGUGUGUGAAGAAGGUCUUCGGAUUGUAAAGCACUUUAAGUUGGGAGGAAGAGAAGUAAGUUAAUACAUUGCUGUUUUGACGUUACCAACAGAAUAAGCACCGGCUAACUUCGUG
rnacentral:rRNA from 1 species